rnacentral:rRNA from 1 species
UACGUAGGGGCAAGCGUUGUCCGGAUUUAUUGGGCGUAAAGAGCGUGUAGGCGGCUAUACAGGUCCGCUGUGAAACUCGAGGCUCAACCUCGAGACGUCGGUGGAAACCGUAUGGCGUAGAGUCCGGAAGAGGAGAGUGGAAUUCCUGGUGUAGGCGGUGAAAUGCGCAGAUAUCAGGAAGAACACCCGUGGCGAAGGCGGCUCUCUGGGACGGUACUGACGCUGAGGCGCGAAAGCGUGGGAAGCAACAGG